AUUUAAGUAAUUUUAGUUAAAAAGAAAUUUUAUAAAGAGUUUUCAAGGGUGUCAAAAGGCCCUACUAUUAAGCAAACAAGGCUUAAAUUUGAAAGCCCGUUUUCUGGUGAAGCCCAUUGUGCCGCAGAAUAAUAAAAGGCUUAAAACUUUUAAAGGGAGUUGAAGACGAUUUUCUGCCCAGAAAUGAUGGUGCAAUGAAGAUACAUACCAUCAUGGGUGAAUUAAUAUUAAUGGUUUUCUCAUAAAACUCCACAAAAUUUGGGAAUAUUUAAUCCCCAACAAAUGUCACACCAGAAGAAAAAUAUUCUUUGCUUCAAGCACAAACAGCUAAAAGCUAAUGGUGUUACAAUUGGAUAAUCUUGCAUUAUAAUUCUAUAGAUUCUUCUCUAUCUUUCUUUUUCUUGGGGUUUUUUGGCUGUUAAAAUAUUAGAUCCUUUUUAAGCUUUUUUAUUUGUUAGUAUAUGUCAAAAAAAAAAAAAAAAAAAACAUUAACGCUGUUGUAUGUGUAGGAAAACAUUUCUAUUUUAUUAUACACGAGGCUAAAGAAAGAGUGAAGGACUAAACUAUGCGCCUAUUGCCUCAAAAUCUUGAAUAAAUAUUGUUUCCGUACACACGAAUACGAUUUUUUCUAUAUGUAAUCUAGGUAUAAAUUAGAAUAGAUUAGAUCGAUCGUUCACCAAACAAACGAAAGAUUCAAGCAUUACUUUUUUUGUCCAAGGAGGUGAGGUUUAAAUAUAGAUGAAAGUAUCAGACAUACUUUAGAAGUUUAAAUCUUAAAUUAAAGCUACAAUUUCCAAUAAGUUGCUUCUUGUACUAAUUAAAUUAAAUUAAAGUGAAUUAAAUUAUGUGGCGUAGUCUCCUCAUAGCCAUCAAAUUUAUCAACAAUUGGAAUUAACUUUUUCCAUACACUUGGGAAGACUAUGGCCAUGCCUUUAAUCAAGCUUAUAAUUACUGAAUUCUAGGUUUUUUUUUUAAUUUAUUUUGUAGAUCGAUCAAGUUUCACUUUUAGCAAACAAUCAGCUGCUGGGAUGUAUUUUCAAUAUUAACAUUAUCCUUUGACCUUGAAUGGUUCCAUAUAAUAAAUUAAAACACAAAAUCUCCUUAAACUAUAUACAUGUAUAUUCAAAAGAAUACCUAUAUAUAUUAGCUACAAGAGUACUAAUAGAAUCUACCUCGUAACCAUCUUCAUCUGAAACCCAAAUGGACUUACAAAUUGAAGGGAAAAUGGUGAAGGAUAUUAUAAAGUGAUCUGCUUUUAUUAUUUAACAGAGUAACAAUUCGAUACUAUACACACACACACACACACACAUGCGUGCAUAUAAAUAAUGUAAGGACUUGUAAGUUGUAGUAAGAAAAUUAUAGGGCAGCAACCUACACGUACAUUUCAAGAUGCUAAUGGCACUGGCAACUCUCAUUCAUUCAUUCAUUCAGUAGAAUGACAUAAAAAAAAAAAAAAAGGUUUGAAGAAGCAAUAUUCAUAAUUCGUAAAUGAAUCAAAUUAAGCGUGUUGCAUAUAUAGUUUUAUUUUAAUCUAUUAAUUACCAAAGAUUUCAAGUUGAAAAUGGUGUGAAAGGAGACUUCGAAGACAGUUCUGUCAAAGUGAGUUAACGUUAAUUAAUUCAAUGAUAAAGCAUAUUCAGCAAUCAGCAGGUGAAGUAUUUAAAAAAAAAAAAAAAAUUGAGCUGGUGAGGUGAGGCAAGAUUCCACAUCGAUUGGCAUCCAUCACAUGGCCUCCUCAACUUCGUCGUUUACUUAGCCCGGCUGGUUAGUUAAUUAAUCAAAUUGUAUUAGCUAGUCUAAUAAGGACCACAAUUAAGUAAUUAAUUAAUUUCACAUGUGAAAGGGCUUUCAGUGGUCUUCCCUGGAGAAUAAAUAAGCUGAUGGGAAUGGGGCGCAACUUGUUGUGAGAAAGCAGAAACAUGCAACAACAUUAAUGCCAGAUUCGAGGUAGGUGCCUUGCAGUUCACAUGGCCCCUCCUCUUUUUUUUUUUUUUUUAAUGUAUAUAUUUUUUAAAACUAAUUACACUUCUUUUAAUUAAUCUUCUUCCAUGGACUUGUUCAUAGAUGAGAGAUAGUUGUUUAUUAUAAUUUGAUGGUAAUGGUAUGGCCUUUGAUUUGUUUUAUCGAAGUGGACUUUGAUUAAGAUAUUUGAUAAACCCACUGGCAUUAGUUUUUAAUUAAACUCCCAUUGUCUUUCACCAAUUAAGCACCAAUUAAGAUUUGAUGAGCCUGCUACCUCUCUUGAAGGCCCCCGACUUCUCAAGUCAAUUGAAUUAAACUUUAAAUAUUAAACUUCACUACUUCACUGCGUCCAAUUUUUGUGGGGAGGUUUGCAUGAGCAUGGCACAGCUAGCUGUAAUUUUGAUGCAUAGUGGGAACAUAAUUGAUUUUAUAAUCAAACUCAAAGUAAAUCAUGUGAAGAUUUUUCAAAAUUCAAGGUCUUAAUGAGGUAAAUUUUCGGAAAGACAGCACAUGGGGAGCCCGUGAACUGCACGCCGCUAAAAUUACUUUUGAUGCAUCGAACUUGAAGAUUUUUUACGCAAGGCAAUAACCAGAUGAUUACGAACACUAUGAUGCCGAGGAAGAUGCCUUUUACAAAGAAAAUUAAUCAGCAAGAAAAUUAGGGUCAAGACAAUUGUAACAAAUGAAUUUGGUGAUGUGAGCGUAUAUAUAGACAAAUUAGAGGUCAAUUUAUUUUGCCUUAAAUUCAGGGAAUCAGGAUUCUUAAUUAACAUCUAAAUUAAGAAAAUGUACAUAGGCUAUAAUUAUUUUAUCAAAGUACAACAUAGAAGGACUUAGAUUCUCUCUCAUAUUGAACAUAUUUCAUAUUCUUUCUUUCAGGGGGAAAAAAAAAAAGAGAGAAGAAAAACAUAUGUAUUUUACGCUUUCAGACUUAUAGUUAUUUAAUUAAAAAAGGAAAAGGGAGAAACAUUGUUGAUUGUGGCCCCGUCUCAUAAGACUCUUUAAUUUAGAAAAAUUUAAAACGCACAUAAAAUUUAAAAUCACCCAAACUAUAGGUCUCAUUUAGAAUUGAGGUGUUGUACCUUUUAAAUUAUACCUGUUGUAG
rnacentral:lncRNA from 1 species